GCCCUUUUCAUAGGCUAAGAUUAGAGUUCUAAUUAUACUAAAAUAUCUAUUGUAUAAUUAGAGUUUAAUUGGGAAAAGUAACCCUACUGAGAGUUUAAUUACGUAACUGCUUUAAGUUGUAAUUUUUAGCGUUGCCGUCUGUUGGAGAUGUCGCGAUACUAAAGUCCUCAUGGCAUAAUACGGGCUGCUAUAAGGGCCUAGAAAUGUCUAAAAAUGUGAGACACACUUCACAGUUGACACCACUUAAAGUUUGUUCCAUCAAAUAUUUUAGGUUUCUCACCAUGCACUAGUAAGGGUGAUAGUGGAAUCUUACCUUUCGGAAAAGUCUUACCUCACUAGUUUCAUAAUUUUGAGCAGAUGUCAUGUUAUCUAAAAAUCAAUAUAAAAAAUUAUUUUUGAUUAAAAAAAUAAACACUAAUGUUGAACUUAUGGCAAUCCAAUAAAGUAUAUAAUUCGUUUAUUUGUAAACUUUGUUAAAACUAGCAGCAACAACAACUACUUAUUGUGAACCACACACUUACUUGUUCACAAUAAAAUUGAAAAAUCGAUAAUUAACAUUGUUACCAAGAGUUAAACCUUUUACCUUUAAGGUAAAAUUGCUCGUCAAUUGGUGCAUAAGAUUUGAUGCAAUUGUCCCCUUCAAACUUUAACAACAACACCUCAAA
rnacentral:lncRNA from 1 species